GACAGUUUCGGCAGCAGAAAAACUUCCUCGUUCGUCUACCUCCGUCUCUCUCGCCCGACCUCAUCUGAUUGCUCUCGCUAAGUCCGGCAACGACAAUUCCUAUUAUUUGAUUUAGGCACCCUUCGGCUUCUGUUCUCAUUCCAGCUCUGCGCACGGUGGGUAACUUUGUCACUGGUGAUGAUUUGCAGACUCAGGUGCACAAGAUGGAUCCAAACUCGAGCAGGCGCGGAAUUCGGCAGUUUAAAACCUAUCUACUGCAUAGGCUGGAAAAGGUAGAAGAUAGCGCCAGAGUGGGAAUGAGAGAUCUUACCUCGAGGCUAUCAUGGAUGGGCACAAUAUGACUCGGAAUUGGCCAAAAAUAGGGAACUACAAGAUGAACAUUUACAGACCUCACUGUCUGCUUGACCGAAGAGAUUUGAAGAGUUGCAAAAGGUAAUUUUGGGUCAAAUUUCCAUUGCUGCAGGAUAAUGAGAUGUUGAAGCGGCAGACUGAAUCCAUGACACCGAAGUGCAAUUGCGGCAGAUUAUUUCUAUUUUUUCUUUUCAUUUUUCUUAUUAUUGGAGUGACAACAGGUAGAAUGAGAAACUGUGAUAGUAGAUACAACAACUGUAGUAAAGAGAAACUUUUGUUUGCAAUUGUUAAUGACAUACAUACUUGCAUGUUCUUUGAUGUGGUCA